GGGUGACUAGUCUAGUGGUCAGGACGCUUCGUUGUGGUUCAACAACUCGUUGAUACAUGACGACCGAAGAAACCCCGGUUCGAUUCCGGGGUCGCCCA